UACGUAGGGGGCAAGCGUUGUCCGGAUUUAUUGGGCGUAAAGAGCGUGUAGGCGGCUUGGCAAGUCCGCUGUGAAAACUCGAGGCUCAACCUCGAGACGUCGGUGGAAACUGCCUCGCUAGAGUCCGGAAGAGGAGAGUGGAAUUCCUGGUGUAGCGGUGAAAUGCGCAGAUAUCAGGAGAACACCCGUGGCUAAGGCGGCUCUCUAGUACGGUACUGACGCUGAGACGCGAAAGCGUGGGGAGCGAA
rnacentral:rRNA from 1 species